ensembl:snRNA U6atac minor spliceosomal RNA
GUGUUGUAUGAAAGGAGAGAAGGUUACCCCGCCCCUUGACCAGGAUGAAAGAGGCCCUCCAGCCAGUCCACCAGCCAUCCGGGUAAGCCAUUCCCCCUUAUUUUGUGCCUUUUACCCAGUUUUU